GCCUGGGUAGCUCAGUCAGUUGAGCAUCCGACUUCAGCUCGGGUCAUGAUCUCACAGUCUGUGAGUUCGAGCCCCGCGUCGGGCU
rnacentral:tRNA from 1 species